GAGAAAAUCAAAUUCAUUAAAUAUGGGCGUACGGGAAGGAAAAAAUUAGGGGGACGGAAAGAAAUUUGCCCGACUUUUUCGGAUUGUGCCCGAGUUGUCAAAAAAACUUUUCCGGAGAAACUUUCCAAAAUUGUUGUCGGCGGGGGGGGGGAUGAGGAGUGAUUACGAAAAAUUCCUAUUAGAUAGCAUAUUUCCCACAAAAUUGACCGGAUUUCCCACAAAAUUGACAGAAUUUGUCCCAUUUAUUUUUAUAAUAAGCCAAUAUUGCCAGACUGUGA